rnacentral:rRNA from 1 species
UACGUAGGGGGCUAGCGUUGUCCGGAAUCAUUGGGCGUAAAGCGCGUGUAGGCGGUCCGGUAAGUCCGCUGUGAAAGUCGAGGGCUCAACCCUCGAAUGCCGGUGGAUACUGUCGGGCUUGAGUACGGGAGAGGCGAGUGGAAUUCCUGGUGUAGCGGUGAAAUGCGUAGAUAUCGGGAGGAACACCAGUGGCGAAGGCGACUACCUGGCCUGUUCUUGACGCUGAGGCGCGAAAGCUGGGGGAGCAAACGGG